AUACUUACCUGGAUGGGGUCAAUGAGUGAUCAAAAAGGCUCAUAGCUUAGACCUCUGACCUUCAUUGCACAUAGAAGGGUGCUGUUCUAAGGUCUGCGACCUUCAUUGCACAUAGAAGGGGGGCUUGUGUUCGCGCAGCCUCUAC
rfam:Vigna angularis cultivar Jingnong 6 chromosome 11, whole genome shotgun sequence.